rnacentral:rRNA from 1 species
AACGCUAGCUACAGGCUUAACACAUGCAAGUCGAGGGGAAACGACAUCGAAAGCUUGCUUUUGAUGGGCGUCGACCGGCGCACGGGUGAGUAACGCGUAUCCAACCUGCCUACCACUUGGGGAUAACCUUGCGAAAGUAAGACUAAUACCCAAUGAUAUCUCUAGAAGACAUCUGAAAGAGAUUAAAGAUUUAUCGGUGAUGGAUGGGGAUGCGUCUGAUUAGCUUGUUGGCGGGGUAACGGCCCACCAAGGCAACGAUCAGUAGGGGUUCUGAGAGGAAGGUCCCCCACAUUGGAACUGAGACACGGUCCAAACUCCUACGGGAGGCAGCAGUGAGGAAUAUUGGUCAAUGGACGAGAGUCUGAACCAGCCAAGUAGCGUGCAGGAAGACGGCCCUAUGGGUUGUAAACUGCUUUUAUAAGGGAAUAAAGUGAGUCUCGUGAGACUUUUUGCAUGUACCUUAUGAAUAAGGACCGGCUAAUUCCGUGCCAGCAGCCGCGGUAAUACGGAAGGUCCGGGCGUUAUCCGGAUUUAUUGGGUUUAAAGGGAGCGUAGGCCGGAGAUUAAGCGUGUUGUGAAAUGUAGACGCUCAACGUCUGCACUGCAGCGCGAACUGGUUUCCUUGAGUACGCACAAAGUGGGCGGAAUUCGUGGUGUAGCGGUGAAAUGCUUAGAUAUCACGAAGAACUCCGAUUG